rnacentral:rRNA from 1 species
AACGAACGCUGGCGGCAUGCCUAACACAUGCAAGUCGAACGAGACCUUCGGGUCUAGUGGCGCACGGGUGCGUAACGCGUGGGAAUCUGCCCUUGGGUUCGGAAUAACAGUUAGAAAUGACUGCUAAUACCGGAUGAUGUCUUCGGACCAAAGAUUUAUCGCCCAGGGAUGAGCCCGCGUAGGAUUAGCUAGUUGGUGGGGUAAAGGCCUACCAAGGCGACGAUCCUUAGCUGGUCUGAGAGGAUGAUCAGCCACACUGGGACUGAGACACGGCCCAGACUCCUACGGGAGGCAGCAGUGGGGAAUAUUGGACAAUGGGCGAAAGCCUGAUCCAGCAAUGCCGCGUGAGUGAUGAAGGCCUUAGGUGUAAGCUCUUUACCCGGGAUGAUAAUGACAGUACCGGGAGAAUAAGCCCCGGCUAACUCCGUGCCAGCAGCCGCGGUAAU